rnacentral:tRNA from 1 species
GGGUCCUUAGCUCAGCUGGUCCAGAGCGCUUCCUUGACGCGGAAGAGGUCACAGAUUCGAAUUCUGUAGGACCCA